rnacentral:sRNA from 1 species
UGCUCAGGUGGACUACGUGGAGCCCAGCCAGAACACCAUCUCCCUGAAGAUGAUCCCACGCAUCGACUACGAUCGCAUCAAGGCCCGCAUGAGCUUGAAAGACUGGUUUGCCAAAAGGAAGAAGUUUAAGCGGCCUCCACAGAGGCUGUUUGAUGCUGAGAAGAUCAGGUGCGUGUCCUUGGGGACUGGCUGGGCUGGGUCCCCAGGGCCGGUGUGCAGAAUGUGCCUUUUGCAGGUUCCUCCCCAGGGGUGGCCCUGCCACAGGUUUAGCCUGUGAAUUGGUUAGCUUGGCAGUAUAGCCUCAGGCAAGUCACUUCACAUCCCUGUGCCUCAGUUUCUUCUGCUAUAAAGAUUGAUGAGGCUGGGCGCAGUGGGAGGGAGCACUUUGGAAGGCUAAGGCAGGAGGCUUGCUUGAGGCCAGGAGUUCGAGACCAGCCUGGGCAACAUAAUGAGAUCCCAUCUUUUAAAAUAAUAGUAAAAAGAAAAAAGUUAAAAAGAAAUUUAAAAA